rnacentral:rRNA from 1 species
UACGUAGGGUGCAAGCGUUAAUCGGAAUUACUGGGCGUAAAGCGUGCGCAGGCGGCUUUGCAAGACAGAUGUGAAAUCCCCGGGCUUAACCUGGGAACUGCAUUUGUGACUGCAUCGCUGGAGUGCGGCAGAGGGGGAUGGAAUUCCGGCGUGUAGCAGUGAAAUGCGUAGAUAUGCGGAGGAACACCGAUGGCGAAGGCAAUCCCCUGGGCCUGCACUGACGCUCAUGCACGAAAGCGUGGGGAGCAAACAGG